rnacentral:rRNA from 1 species
AAUCAACGCUGGCGGCGUGCCUCAGACAUGCAAGUCGAACGAGAACCUCCCUUCGGGGAGGAGACAGUGGCGCACGGGUGAGUAACACGUGGGUAAUUUACCUUUGGGUGGGGAACAACAGCCGGAAACGGCUGCUAAUACCGCAUAAUGCAGCGGCUCGACAUCGAGACAGUUGUUAAAGCGGGGGAUCGCAAGACCUCGCGCCUGAAGAGAAGCCUGCGGCGGAUUAGCUAGUUGGUAGGGUAAUGGCCUACCAAGGCGACGAUCUGUAACCGGCCUGAGAGGGCGGUCGGUCACACUGACACUGACAUACGGGUCGAGACUCCUACGGGAGGCAGCAGUCGGGUAA